rnacentral:rRNA from 1 species
UUUGAUCCUGGCUCAGGACGAACGCUGGCGGCGUGCCUAAUACAUGCAAGUCGAGCGAAUCAAUAGGAGCUUGCUCCUGUUGGUUAGCGGCGGACGGGUGAGUAACACGUGGGCAACCUGCCUGUAAGACUGGGAUAACACCGGGAAACCGGUGCUAAUACCGGAUAAUCCUUUUCCUCUCAUGAGGAAAAGCUGAAAGUCGGUUUCGGCUGACACUUACAGAUGGGCCCGCGGCGCAUUAGCUAGUUGGUGAGGUAACGGCUCACCAAGGCGACGAUGCGUAGCCGACCUGAGAGGGUGAUCGGCCACACUGGGACUGAGACACGGCCCAGACUCCUACGGGAGGCAGCAGUAGGGAAUCUUCCACAAUGGACGAAAGUCUGAUGGAGCAACGCCGCGUGAGCGAUGAAGGCCUUCGGGUCGUAAAGC